rnacentral:rRNA from 1 species
AUGAAGAUGGCGACUUGCAUUCGUAAGGUGGCCUCGGAGGAGUUUGGAGUGUCUAGGGGAAGGAGAAGCGAAGAUAAGGAUACCUGGUGGUGGAAUGAUGAUGUCCAGAAGGCGAUUAAAGAGAAGAAAGAUUGCUUCAGACGCCUAUACCUGGAUAGGAGUGCACACAACAUAGAGAAGUACAAGAUGGCAAAGAAGGCCGCAAAGCGAGUUGUUGGUGAAGCAAGGGGUCGGGCGUAUGAGGACCUCUACCAACGGUUAGGCACGAAGGAAGGCGAAAGGGACAUCUAUAAGAUGGCCAAGAUCCGAGAGAGGAAGACGAGGGAUAUUGGCCAAGUCAAAUGCAUCAAGGACGGAGCAGUCCAACUCUUGGUGAAGGACGAGGAGAUUAAGCAUAGAUGGCGGGAGUACUUCGACAAGUUGUUCAAUGGGGAGAAUGAAAGCUCUACCAUUGAACUGGACGACUCUUUUGAUGAGACCAGCAUGCGUUUUGUGCGUCGAAUCCAGGAGUCUGAGGUCAAGGAGGCUUUAAAAAGGAUGAAGGGAGGCAAGGCGAUGGGCCCGGAUUGUAUCCCCAUUGAGGUGUGGAAAGGUCUCGGGGACAUAGCGAUAGUAUGGCUAACCAAGCUUUUCAACCUCAUUUUUCAGGCAAACAAGAUGCCAGAAGAAUGGAGACGGAGUAUAUUAGUACCAAUCUUCAAGAACAAGGGGGAUGUUCAGAGUUGUACUAAUUACCGUGGAAUUAAGCUGAUGAGCCAUACAAUGAAGCUAUGGGAGAGAGUCAUUGAGCACCGCUUAAGAAGAAUGACAAGCGUGACCAAAAACCAGUUUGGUUUCAUGCCUGGGAGGUCGACCAUGGAAGCCAUUUUCUUGGUACGAUAG